GAUGAACGCUCGCUACAGGCUUAACACAUGCAAGUCGCGGGGCAGCAUGGGGGUUGCUUGCAAUCCCCGAUGGCGACCGGCGCACGGGUGAGUAACGCGUAUCCAACCUGCCCUUCACCACGGGAUAACCCGGCGAAAGUCGGACUAAUACCGUAUGUUGUCCAUUGACGGCCUCCGAUUUGGACGAAAGGUUUGGCGGUGAAGGAUGGGGAUGCGUCCGAUUAGCUGGACGGCGGGGUGACGGCCCACCGUGGCGACGAUCGGUAGGGGUUCUGAGAGGAAGGUCCCCCACACUGGAACUGAGACACGGUCCAGACUCCUACGGGAGGCAGCAGUGAGGAAUAUUGGUCAAUGGGCGUAAGCCUGAACCAGCCAAGUAGCGUGCAGGAUGACGGCCCUAUGGGUUGUAAACUGCUUUUAUGCGGGGAUAAAGUGGCCCACGUGUGGGUUUUUGCAGGUACCGCAUGAAUAAGGACCGGCUAAUUCCGUG
rnacentral:rRNA from 1 species